CUUAUAUUGAUAUUGAUGGUUAAUAGCCUUAAACCUUAUUGUGUACUACUGAAUGUUUUAGAUCAAUUUUAUUUUCCUUUCUUUUUGAGACAGGGUCUCACUCUGUGGCCCAGGCUGAUGUGCAGUGGUGUGAUCACAGCUCACUGCAACCUCCAGUUCCUGGGCUCAAGCGAUCCUCCCACCUCAGCCUCCCGAGUAGCUUGGACUACAGGCGUGUGCCACCAUGCUCAGUUAAUUUUUACAUUUUUUGUAGUGAUGACAUCUCACUACAUUGCCCAGGCUGGUCUUGAACUCUUAGGCUCAAGCAAUCCUCCUGCUUUGGCAUCCCAAAGUGCUGGGAUUAUAGGUAUGAGCCACUGCACCAGACCUAUUUUCCUUUUUAUCAUUAAUUAUGGAUUAACAUUUGGUUAACACAGUGCUCAGUUGUCACCGGAAAUGAGAGAAACCAUCACACACCUCCCGAUAUGAUGCAUCACUUCCAUAAUAUGCCCGUCAAAAAUCGAUAAUCUGAAUCUAAUCUUGAGGAAAUUUAAGACAAACCCAAACUGGGAGAUGUUCUCCAAAAUAAACAGUUUGUACUCUUCAAAAACAUCAGUCUUAAGAACCAAAGAAUAACAAUGGUAACUAAAGACGUAAUAACUAAAUGUGCUGCAUUUUUGGUAUGAAGGACAAUUAUUGGGACAAAGAGAAAACUUGAAAUAAGAGCGGUAAAUUACACAAUAAUUCCUGUUUUAAUAAUUGUACUGUCGCUACGUAAGAAAAUGUUCUUGUUCUUAGAAAAUAUAUAUGGAAGUCUUUAGGAGUAAAGGGACACUGUAUUCACAACUUCCACUCAAAUGGUUCCCAAAAUACUUCAUAGUAUCUAUAAAGACAAUGAUAAAACAAAUAUAAAACAUUUAAAAUUGGGUAAUAUGGGCAAAGGGUCAAUGAGGAUUCGUUGUACUAGUCUGCAGGGGGUUGUUUCUACUAGUUUUUUGUAGAGACGAGGUCUCAUCUCACUAUAUGUGGCCCAAAUUGGUCUCAAACUCCUGGCCUCAACUGAUUCUCCCACCUCAGCCUCUCAAAGUCUGUAAUCUUCUGAGAUUACACAAGUGCCCCACCCGGCUGCAAUUUGUUUAAGGCUUAAAAUUACUUCAAAAUAUAUAACUUUAUUUAAUAAAUAUUAAUAUUUUAUGUUAAUAUUAAGGAAAUGAAACCAAUUUCUACAACAUAGGAAUGAUUUCGGCAUGUCUAGGAGAGUCAGAGAAAAGACGGGAGGGAAAUGGGGGAGAAAGAAAAACGUGAGAGAACCUUCUACUUCCUGAAAGGCACCAUGACUCUGGAAUGUUACCUGUAAUUAAGAAUGUCAGAAGAACCGAGCCUCCAUUCUAAAGUUUCUGUGGUGAAGUCAUCUGUAUUUCCUAGGAAACUUGAAGAGGAACAAACUGAAACUUGACAAAACUCAGAAGAGACUUACAAGAAUCAGAAAUGCACACAUGGUGCCAUAUUUGGAAGUCAUGAAGAAAAACUGAACAGCAUUACCGAGGAAAAACUUCUUACUCCUAAAUAUGCAACACUGUCAGUAAGAAGCACAUUAAGGCUAAGGGUUACUAAUAAUAUUUAAAUAAAUGUGGCCAUUAUGCUUCUAGGGAAUUAAAAAAUACCAGUAGUAACUUUUUUAUUUUUUAUUUUUUUGGAGGUGGCGUAUUGCCCUGUCC
rnacentral:lncRNA from 1 species